rnacentral:rRNA from 1 species
UACGUAGGGGGCGAGCGUUGUCCGGAAUUAUUGGGCGUAAAGAGCGUGUAGGCUGUUCGGUAAGUCUGCCGUGAAACCUGAGGCUCAACCUCGGGCGUGCGGUGGAUACUGCCGGGCUAGAGGACGGUAGAGGCGAGUGGAAUUCCCGGUGUAGCGGUGAAAUGCGCAGAUAUCGGAGGAACGACCAGUAGCGAAGGCGGAGCUCGCUGGGCCGUUCGUGACGCUGAGACGCGAAAGCUAGGGGAGCGAACAGG